GAUGAAGAACGUAGCGAAAUGCGAUAAGUAGUGUGAAUUGCAGAAUUCAGUGAAUCAUCGAAUCUUUGAACGCACAUUGCGCCCCUUGGUAUUCCAUAGGGCAUGCCUGUUCGAGCGUCAUUUGUACCUUCAAGCUUUGCUUGGUGUUGGGUGUUUGUCUCGCCUCCGCGUGUAGACUCGCCUCAAAACAAUUGGCAGCCGGCGUAUUGAUUUCGGAGCGCAGUACAUCUCGCGCUUUGCACUCACAACGACGACGUCCAAAAGUACAUUUUUACACUCUUGACCUCGGAUCAGGUAGGGAUACCCGCUGAACUUAAGCAUAUCAAUAAGCGGAGGA
rnacentral:misc_RNA from 1 species